ensembl:lncRNA
CGUCUUUGUUUCCCCCCCGUGUCUCAAGAGUUCCAGCGAUUUCCCAUGGUCUACAAAGUUCUAGCGAUAACGACUCUUGCCUGUAUAAUCGACUCCGUGUUUGCCUUCUCCUUGCCGGUGCCUUUGCCUCCACAACCUCCUACCUGGAUAACGACCCUGGACUGUUUACUCGACUCCGUGAUUGCCUCCUCCUUGCCGGUACCUCUGCCUCUACAAACUACUACCUGUGUGACGACCCUGGACUAGAUUAACGACGAUCCCCGCUGCCCAUCCCUGAUUGGAUUUGUUUGUUUGUAUUUGGACUGUCUUACCGUGUACCGAACCCGUUCAGUAAAAGUUGUUAUUCUGCAUCUCUGUCUCCGAGUCGAGCAUUUGGAUCCUACAUUUCCACGUACAUUACACAGAUGCCAUUGGACUGGAUCUGGACUGGAUGUCAUCCCAAACAACUGCCGACUUUGGUCCCAAGGUCAUCUGGUUCUGGUUCUGGUUCUGGCCAGGAUGUCACCCCAGAGAACACUGGGACUGGUCCAGGAUGCGUGUCACACCUGGGCCAGGUCUACUUCAGAGACAUCAGACACUGCUGCUGCUGUCUGAGCUCUUGAUUUCCCUGUGCUGCUGUGCUGCUGUGUUGCUGUGCUGCUGUGUUGCUGUGCUGCUGUGUAGCUGCGCUCCUGUGCUGCUGUGCUGCUGUGUUGCUGCGCUCCUGUGGUCCUGUGCUGCUGUGGUGUGUUGUGUGGCAUGCCUGGCACAGCGGAGGCUCUGGGCGGUCUGAAAGAGCGCACACAGGGGGAUAGCGACAGGAAAUGGGAAAUGAGAUUUGUGGAACUCUUCACCUCUUAACCACUGCCUCAUCCUGCACCCCUCAGCACAGUCCUCAGAUGUGUGUGUGUGUGUGUGUGUGUGUGUGUGUGUGUGUGUGUGUGUGUGUGUGUGUGUGUGUGUGUGUGUGUGUGUGUGUGUGUGUGUGUGUGUGUGUGUGUGUGUGUGUGUGUGUGUGUGUGCAUCGUUCAGAUGCUAGGGGUGUGUGUGUAUAUGUGUUUGUGUGUGUGUCAUUUCUCCGUGAGGGUUUUGGGG